AACAGCUAUGGGUCAAGUCCGAUAUCUUUAGGAGAAGUCUUAUUGUGAGGGCGAGUUAUAUAACACCAUAGGACUGGCCGUCCCAUAUGAAAAGAUUAUAUUAGAAUUGAAUGAAGCUUUGUUUAUAUAUUGAUAAUGACAGUAUAUAUAUCGUGUCUUGACUAAUUGCGUGCCAGCAGUCGCGGUAAUACGUAAGAGACUAGUGUUAUUCAUCUUAAUUAGGUUUAAAGGGUACCCAGACGGUCAAUAUAGCUUAUAAAAUGUUAGUACUUGACUAGAGUUUUAUGUAAGAGGGCAGUACUUGAGGAGGAGAGAUGAAAUUUCGUGAUACCAAAGGGACUCUGUAAAGGCGAAGGCAGCCCUCUAUGUAAAAACUGACGUUGAAGGACGAAGGCACAGAGAACAAACAGGAUUAGAUACCCAAGUAGUCUUUGCAGUAAAUGAUGAAUGCCAUAGGUUAGAUGGGUCAAUUAUAGUCUAGGGUUAGUCUAGCAAACUAAUACCCUAUGCUAUAAUUCCUAAUAUCUGGUCUAUAAAUGAAAGUGUAAGCAUUUCACCUCAAGAG
rnacentral:rRNA from 1 species